GAUGAACGCUGGCGGCGUGCUUAACACAUGCAAGUCGAACGAAGCUGUUGUUUGGAGACCUUCGGGUGGAAGAAUGACAGACUGAGUGGCGGACGGGUGAGUAACGCGUGGGUAACCUACCUUGCACAGGGGGACAACAGUUGGAAACGACUGCUAAUACCGCAUAAGACCACAGUACCGCAUGGUACAGGGGUAAAAACUGAGGUGGUGCAAGAUGGACCCGCGUCUGAUUAGCUAGUUGGUGGGGUAAAGGCCUACCAAGGCGACGAUCAGUAGCCGACCUGAGAGGGUGAUCGGCCACAUUGGGACUGAGACACGGCCCAAACUCCUACGGGAGGCAGCAGUGGGGAAUAUUGGACAAUGGGGGGAACCCUGAUCCAGCGACGCCGCGUGAGUGAAGAAGUAUUUCGGCAUGUAAAGCUCUAUCAGCAGGGAAGAAAAUGACGGUACCUGACUAAGAAGCCCCGGCUAACUACGUGCCAGCAGCCGCGGUAAUACGUAGGGGGCAAGCGUUAUCCGGAUUUACUGGGUGUAAAGGGAGCGCAGACGGCUUGGCAAGUCUGAAGUGAAAGCCCGGGGCUUAACCCCGGGACUGCUUUGGAAACUGUGAAGCUAGAGUGUCGGAGAGGUAAGUGGAAUUCCCAGUGUAGCGGUGAAAUGCGUAGAUAUUGGGAGGAACACCGGUGGCGAAGGCGGCUUACUGGACGAUAACUGACGUUGAGGCUCGAAGGCGUGGGGAGCAAACAGG
rnacentral:rRNA from 1 species